AGCAGCCGCGGUAAUUCCAGCUCCAAUAGCGUAUAUUAAAGUUGCUGCAGUUAAAAAGCUCGUAGUUGAAUUUCGGGAUCAUCAUGUCGGUCGUGCCUCGGUACGUACUGGCAUUGUUGGUUUCUACCUUCUGACGAACCAUGAUGUCAUUUAUUUGGUGUCGUGGGAAAUCAGGACUGUUACUUUGAAAAAAUUAGAGUGUUUAAAGCAGGCUCACGCUUGAAUACAUUAGCAUGGAAUAAUGAAAUAGGACGUUUGAUUCUAUUUUGUUGGUUUCUAGGAUCGACGUAAUGAUUAAUAGGGAUAGUUGGGGGCAUUAGUAUUCAAUUGUCAGAGGUGAAAUUCUUGGAUUUAUUGAAGACUAACUACUGCGAAAGCAUUUGCCAAGGAUGUUUUCAUUAAUCAAGAACGAAAGUUAGGGGAUCGAAGACGAUCAGAUACCGUCGUAGUCUUAACCAUAAACUAUGCCGACUAGGGAUCGGAUGAUGUUAAUUUUUUAAUGACUCAUUCGGCGCCUUAC
rnacentral:misc_RNA from 1 species